rnacentral:rRNA from 1 species
AGGAAUUGACGGGGACCCGCACAAGUAGCGGAGCAUGUGGUUUAAUUCGAAGCAACGCGAAGAACCUUACCUAAGCUUGACAUCCCAAUGACAUCUCCUUAAUCGGAGAGUUCCCUUCGGGGACAUUGGUGACAGGUGGUGCAUGGUUGUCGUCAGCUCGUGUCGUGAGAUGUUGGGUUAAGUCCCGCAACGAGCGCAACCCUUGUCUUUAGUUGCCAUCAUUAAGUUGGGCACUCUAGAGAGACUGCCAGGGAUAACCUGGAGGAAGGUGGGGAUGACGUCAAAUCAUCAUGCCCCUUAUGCUUAGGGCUACACACGUGCUACAAUGGGUAGUACAGAGGGUUGCCAAGCCGUAAGGCGGAGCUAAUCCCUUAAAGCUACUCUCAGUUCGGAUUGUAGGCUGAAACUCGCCUACAUGAAGCUGGAGUUACUAGUAAUCGCAGAUCAGAAUGCUGCGGUGAAUGCGUUCCCGGGUCUUGUACACACCGCCCGUCACACCACGGGAGUUGGAGACGCCCGAAGCCGAUUAUCUAACCUUUUGGAAGAAGUCGUCGAAGGUGGAAUCAAUAACUGGGGUGAAGUCGUAACAAGGUAGCCGUAUCGGAAGGUGCGGCUGGAUCACCUCCUUUCUAAGGA